rnacentral:lncRNA from 1 species
UUCGUUGUGAGCUCGUAAAACAACAAGUUUGGUUGUGAGCUUGUAAAACAACCGGCUGUAAUCCAAGGGGUUAUAGUGAAUUCCCAAAUGAGACUUGGGGAGUGAACGUAGGAGCAAGGGUUAGCUCCGAACCACUAUAAAAGCCUUGUGUUUGUGAUUGUUUGUCUCUUUCUUUUACUCUCAUUUCAUUCACAGCACAUAGCAAUUAAUUAAUCAUCUUGGUAAAGCAUUAAUUAGUCAUCCACAAUGUUUUAAUUGCAAAAUUAUUUUAAAACCCAAUUCACCCUCCCUCUUGGGUUGUCUAUCUGGGCAA